GUGAAUUAAGGUCCGUCUUGUUCCCGACCAGGAUCAUCAAAACUCCUUGAUUGGCAUAUGUUUCUACCUCAUUCAACCAUUUAUUGAGAAAUACAAAUAGAUGCCAUGUUGCCAUCCGUGGGUCUGCCCAGAAACAGAUCACAGAAGAUGCCAAAUGUGGUAAAAAUGUCAGAAACACAUUCAGCUGCCCCUCUCGUGCCACUUUUUUUGUUCUAACCCCAUUUCGGUAUUAUCUAUGAUCUACAACUGAGUGGAUGCAUGGUAACAUGGAAUCUAUUUGUUACUUUAAAACAUGGAACUUCUAUACCCUUAUCUUUUUGUGGGUUCAUACCUUUAUUUUAUGGUAACAAUAGAUCUUCGGUAGCUGGAACAGUUAAAGAAUUUUUAACUUGACUUUGUCAGUUUUUAUCUUGAUUCCUGUAGACUCAGAAAGUUCUGGUUUGGCCUCAAGGCCAAAUCCAUAUAAAAUAUCCAUAAACUAUUGAAAUCAUAUGCAAAUUGCCAUGAUAAUUUAGAAACUGAGAAACACCACUGUAGCACUGUGCCAAAAUCAGAAAAACCUGACCUUUUUUCAUUCUUAGGCAGAUACCAUAUACUAAGCCUUUGCCUUCACCAGAAUAAAUUUUCCUGUAAUUGUGGGACAUAGACAAACUCCCACACAAUCAAAAUCUUCUAGAAACUUUGGUCUAAUUGCCAUAAAUUUCCUUUCAUAAGAUGUUAGCCUUUUACUCUUUUAUGCAUCAUUGUUCGAGAAUUGCCUAUAAUUCACCAAUAUUUACCAUCCAUUGACAUACAUUGUCUCCAAUGAUCCAUCAGAUGACAAGAAAAUAUCACAUUCGAUUGCAAAUGGCUUAUUUCAGCAGGGGCCUCUUCUUCACGAUCUCAAUUUUCAGUCCGCUUAAACUAAGAUUCCAGUCCUGCCUGACUUUUAUAAAAACCAAAUGUUUACCAUAUAACCUUUAAUAUAAUUAUUUCCAGCCUGCCUGUGAAUCUUGAUUAGCUGCAGCCAGUCAUAGAAAAACAAAUCUUGACAAUCUUUAAUGACACUCUCAAAUACAUGAGAAAACAUGUUUUUUUCCGGGACGAUUCCAAACAUAGAGGAAUAUUCAGUCAGUCUCCGUUUUUCACUGGAAAUCCAACAUUUUUUUGUAGAUUAUCCUUUUUUUUUUUCCAAAUGCAAUCAAGUAGUUUGGAGGCUUUCUCAUUUACGGAUCAGAGUGACGGUACAAAAAAUAAUUAUAAAUUUAUCGUCGUUAAUACUAAGAGUACUUGCGAAUUUUACAUUUUCUCACAAAUUGGAACAGUGACAGAGCACAGAUUUCAACGGAUAACGAAUAUGGAAUAUUUCGGUGUUGUUAACUUUUUACGCAAAUUGAUCGAGUGAAAGAAAUAUUCACGACCUAUAGUUUACUUUUCAGGAAAUCUUUUGUUUACAAGGAAGUCAAACACUCGCACACAAUACAGUUUCCUGUGUUUAUCAACACUAACAAUCAGUAUAUUUCGUACCGUGAAUUCGUAAUGUGUGCAAAAUUAAAUAAUUCUCGAAGAAUUUGACCUAUUAGCAUUUUAUUUUUCUUAGCUCGCAACUUGAUCUUUUAAUCAAUUUAUUUUCGGUUUGCGAAAAGAAAAAACGCAAACAACCAAAUCUGUGCGUCACUUCUUUUAACGACAUCCUCAGGGUGCCAUGGAAUUGUACUUAAAAAUGCAAACAGUUCUGUUCGUAGGAUGGUGAAAAUUUGCGUGCUUCUUAAAAUAGUUUAAAUUCGUCUCACGAAAGCUGGUAGAUUUUUUCCUGUAUAAUCUUGCGCAUUGCUAGAUAAGAGGCGAGUCGAUCAUCAACAACAGGCAAUGUUCUUGAAUUUCAAGCAACAACUCGGAAGCCAUUAAUUUUUCAAGAGAACAAAUACUGCGAAACAAAGACAUCAUGUUUAAGCGAAAUCCAAGAGGCGAUUUCGGGUAAGCCUCUCUGUGGGCGAAAUCAACAUAACGAAGAAGAAGACACGAUUUUCCCACGCCAGAGUCGCCGAUCAUCAGAACUUUGAAUAAAU
rnacentral:lncRNA from 1 species